rnacentral:siRNA from 1 species
AAACGGUGUGCAAUUGGUCCACA